GUAGGUGAACCUGCGGAAGGAUCAUUACAGAGUUCAUGCCCUCACGGGUAGAUCUCCCACCCUUGAAUACUAUACCUUUGUUGCUUUGGCGGGCCGCCUUGGCUACUGGCUCCGGCUGGUAAGUGCCCGCCAAAGGACCCCAACACUCUGGAUAUUAGUGUCGUCUGAGUACUAUAUAAUAGUUAAAACUUUCAACAACGGAUCUCUUGGUUCUG
rnacentral:misc_RNA from 1 species